rnacentral:rRNA from 1 species
GGAUCCAGACUUUGAUCCUGGCUCAGGAUGAACGCUAGCUACAGGCUUAACACAUGCAAGUCGAGGGGAAACGACAUCGAAAGCUUGCUUUUGAUGGGCGUCGACCGGCGCACGGGUGAGUAACGCGUAUCCAACCUGCCCACCACUUGGGGAUAACCUUGCGAAAGUAAGACUAAUACCCAAUGAUAUCCCACGAAGGCAUCCGAAUGGGAUUAAAGAUUUAUCGGUGAUGGAUGGGGAUGCGUCUGAUUAGCUUGUUGGCGGGGUAACGGUCCACCAAGGCAACGAUCAGUUGGGGUUCUGAGAGGAAGGUCCCCCACAUUGGAACUGAGACACGGUCCAAACUCCUACGGGAGGCAGCAGUGAGGAAUAUUGGUCAAUGGGCGAGAGCCUGAACCAGCCAAGUAGCGUGCAGGACGACGGCCCUAUGGGUUGUAAACUGCUUUUAUAAGGGAAUAAAGUGGGUCACGUGUGACUUUUUGCAUGUACCUUAUGAAUAAGGACCGGCUAAUUCCGUGCCAGCAGCCGCGGUAAUACGGAAGGUCCGGGCGUUAUCCGGAUUUAUUGGGUUUAAAGGGAGCGUAGGCCGGAGAUUAAGCGUGUUGUGAAAUGUAGAGGCUCAACCUCUGCACUGCAGCGCGAACUGGUCUUCUUGAGUACGCACAACGUGGGCGGAAUUCGUGGUGUAGCGGUGAAGUGCUUAGAUAUCACGAAGAACUCCGAUUGCGAAGGCAGCUCACGGGAGCGCAACUGACGCUGAAGCUCGAAAGUGCGGGUAUCGAACAGGAUUAGAUACCCUGGUAGUCCGCACGGUAAACGAUGGAUGCCCGCUGUU